rnacentral:rRNA from 1 species
UACGUAGGGUGCAAGCGUUGUCCGGAAUUAUUGGGCGUAAAGAGCUCGUAGGCGGUUUGUCGCGUCGAAUGUGAAAACCCGGGGCUCAACCCCGGGCCUGCAUUCGAUACGGGCAGACUAGAGUUCGGUAGGGGAGUCUGGAAUUCCCGGUGUAGCGGUGAAAUGCGCAGAUAUCAGGAGGAACACCGGUGGCGAAGGCGGGACUCUGGGCCGAUACUGACGCUGAGGCACGAAAGCCAGGGGAGCAAACGGG